UCCGGUUUAACACCGGCAGUCUCCAUAGAGUGCCCAACUGAAUGAUGGCAACUAGGGAUAAGGGUUGCGCUCGUUAAGGGACUUAACCCGACAUCUCACGAUACGAGCUGACGACAGCCAUGCAGCACCUGUCUCCUUGCCCCCGAAGGGGAAACGGUACUUCUACCGCGGUCAAGGGAUGUCAAACCCAGGUAAGGUUCUUCGCGUAGCAUCGAAUUAAACCACAUGCUCCACCGCUUGUGCGGGCCCCCGUCAAUUCCUUUGAGUUUCAGCCUUGCGGCCGUACUCCCCAGGCGGGGCACUUAAUGCGUUAGCGCCGGCACCCAGGGGGUCGCUCCCCCAGGCACCUAGUGCCCAUCGUUUACGGCGUGGACUAC
rnacentral:misc_RNA from 1 species